rnacentral:rRNA from 1 species
AGAGUUUGAUCAUGGCUCAGAACGAACGCUGGCGGCAUGCCUAACACAUGCAAGUCGAACGAGACCUUCGGGUCUAGUGGCGCACGGGUGCGUAACGCGUGGGAAUCUACCCUUGGGUUCGGAAUAACUCAGAGAAAUUUGAGCUAAUACCGGAUGAUGUCGCAAGACCAAAGAUUUAUCGCCCAAGGAUGAGCCCGCGUAGGAUUAGCUUGUUGGUGAGGUAAAAGCUCACCAAGGCGACGAUCCUUAGCUGGUCUGAGAGGAUGAUCAGCCACACUGGGACUGAGACACGGCCCAGACUCCUACGGGAGGCAGCAGUGGGGAAUAUUGGACAAUGGGCGAAAGCCUGAUCCAGCAAUGCCGCGUGAGUGAUGAAGGCCUUAGGGUUGUAAAGCUCUUUUACCCGGGAUGAUAAUGACAGUACCGGGAGAAUAAGCCCCGGCUAACUCCGUGCCAGCAGCCGCGGUAAUACGGAGGGGGCUAGCGUUGUUCGGAAUUACUGGGCGUAAAGCGCACGUAGGCGGCUAUUCAAGUCAGAGGUGAAAGCCUGGUGCUCAACAUCAGAACUGCCUUUGAAACUAGAUAGCUAGAGUCUUGGAGAGGUCAGUGGAAUUCCGAGUGUAGAGGUGAAAUUCGUAGAUAUUCGGAAG